GAUAGGAGGGAAGAAUUCUCUCAACCUACUCAACUAGAAUCUUGCAAAAGAAAAUUAAAAAAUGAUGGAAGAACUACAAAAAUAGGACUUAAGUCUAUUUUUCUUUCAUUGAUUGAUCUAAACAUACAUAACUGCUAUUUCUAAUAUUAGUGAGAUCCUCUCUUGCAUAAUUUGGAUUGAAUUCCUUCCUGGUUCGAAUAGAACUAGGUCUCCAAAAAUAAGUAUGACUAAAAAAUAAUUAAAAUAAAACUAAAAUUUAAUAGGAGAUAGAUCUCGAUUUCUUUAUUAACUUUGCAUUCUGUUAAUCCACAUAGUUUUGUAGAAAACAUUUGAUCAUAGCUUUCU
rnacentral:lncRNA from 1 species